rnacentral:rRNA from 1 species
UACGUAGGGGGCAAGCGUUGUCCGGAUUUAUUGGGCGUAAAGAGCGUGUAGGCGGCCAGGGAGGUCCGUUGUGAAAACUCGAGGCUCAACCUCGAGACGCCGAUGGAAACCCCCUGGCUAGAGUCCGGAAGAGGAGAGUGGAAUUCCUGGUGUAGCGGUGAAAUGCGCAGAUAUCAGGAAGAACACCCGUGGCUAAAGCGGCUCUCUAGUACGGUACUGACGCUGAGACGCGAAAGCGUGGGGAGCGAACAGG